CCUACGGGAGGCAGCAGUGAGGAAUAUUGGUCAAUGGGCGCGAGCCUGAACCAGCCAAGUAGCGUGAAGGAUGACUGCCCUACGGGUUGUAAACUUCUUUUAUAAAGGAAUAAAGUGAGGCACGUGUGCCUUUUUGUAUGUACUUUAUGAAUAAGGAUCGGCUAACUCCGUGCCAGCAGCCGCGGUAAUACGGAGGAUUCGAGCGUUAUCCGGAUUUUUUGGGGUUAAAGGGAGCGUAGAUGGGUUGUUAAGUUAGUUGUGAAAGUUUGCGGCUCAACCGUAAAAUUGCAAUUGAUACUGGCAGUCUUGAGUACAGUUGAGGUAGGCGGAAUGCGUGGUGUAGCGGUGAAAUGCUUAGAUAUCACGAAGAACUCCGAUUGCGAAGGCAGCUUACUAAACUGCCACUGACGUUGAUGCACGAAAGUGUGGGUAUCAAACAGGAUUAGAUACCCCGGUAGUC
rnacentral:rRNA from 1 species